UACGAAGGGGGCUAGCGUUGUUCGGAAUUACUGGGCGUAAAGCGCACGUAGGCGGAUUAGUAAGUCAGGGGUGAAAUCCCGGGGCUCAACCUCGGAACUGCCUUUGAUACUGCUGAUCUCGAGUCCGGAAGAGGUGAGUGGAAUUCCUAGUGUAGAGGUGACAUUCGUAGAUAUUAGGAAGAACACCAGUGGCGAAGGCGGCUCACUGGUCCGGUACUGACGCUGAGGUGCGAAAUCGUGGGGAGCAAGCAGG
rnacentral:rRNA from 1 species